rnacentral:rRNA from 3 species
AGACCCGAAACCCGGUGAUCUAGCCAUGGGCAGGUUGAAGGUUGGGUAACACUAACUGGAGGACCGAACCGACUAAUGUUGAAAAAUUAGCGGAUGACCUGUGGCUGGGGGUGAAAGGCCAAUCAAACCGGGAGAUAGCUGGUUCUCCCCGAAAGCUAUUUAGGUAGCGCCUCGUGAAUUCAUCUCCGGGGGUAGAGCACUGUUUCGGCUAGGGGGCCAUCCCGGCUUACCAACCCGAUGCAAACUGCGAAUACCGGAGAAUGUUAUCACGGGAGACACACGGCGGGUGCUAACGUCCGUCGUGAAGAGGGAAACAACCCAGACCGCCAGCUAAGGUCCCAAAGUCAUGGUUAAGUGGGAAACGAUGUGGGAAGGCCCAGACAGCCAGGAUGUUGGCUUAGAAGCAGCCAUCAUUUAAAGAAAGCGUAAUAGCUCACUGGUCGAGUCGGCCUGCGCGGAAGAUGUAACGGGGCUAAACCAUGCACCGAAGCUGCGGCAGCGACGCUUAUGCGUUGUUGGGUAGGGGAGCGUUCUGUAAGCCUGUGAAGGUGUGUCGUGAGGCAUGCUGGAGGUAUCAGAAGUGCGAAUGCUGACAUAAGUAACGAUAAAGCGGGUGAAAAGCCCGCUCGCCGGAAGACCAAGGGUUCCUGUCCAACGUUAAUCGGGGCAGGGUGAGUCGACCCCUAAGGCGAGGCCGA